GACGAACGCUGGCGGCGUGCUUAACACAUGCAAGUCGAACGGAAAGGCCUUUUCGGAGGUACUCGAGUGGCGAACGGGUGAGUAACACGUGGGUGAUCUGCCCUGCACUCUGGGAUAAGCCUGGGAAACUGGGUCUAAUACCGGAUAGGACCGCACUUUAGUGUGUGUGGUGGAAAGUUUUUUCGGUGUAGGAUGAGCCCGCGGCCUAUCAGCUUGUUGGUGGGGUAAUGGCCUACCAAGGCGGCGACGGGUAGCCGGACUGCGAGGUUGGUCGGCCACAUUGGGACUGGGCUUCAGCCCAGUGUCCGACGGGAAGCAUAAGUUGGGAAUAUUGCAAAAUGGGCGUUAGUCUGAGGCAGCGAAGCCGCGUGGGGGAUGACGGCCUUCGGGUUGAAAACUCCUUUCGCCAGGGACGAAGCGUUUUGUGACGGUACCUGGUGAAGAAGCACCGGCUAACUACGUG
rnacentral:rRNA from 1 species